GCCGGGCGUGGUGGUGCGUGCCUGUAAUCCCAGCUACUCGGGAGGCUGAGACAGGAGAAUGGCUUGAACCUGGGAGGCAGAGGUUGCAGUGAGCCGAGUUAGUGCCACUGCACUCUAGCCUGAGUGACAGAGUGAGACUCUGUCUCAA
rnacentral:SRP_RNA from 1 species